UUACCCACCCUUUCCUCUAUUUGUGCCAGAACUACAAAGCAAAUAAAAUGGUGGUUUAGUUGCUUUAUUAGAUUACAAGUAAGCUUUCUCAUAGUUAGUUAGAAACCAUUGAUAUGGAGUGGUUUAGAGGGUAAUUGAUGAGUGUUUUUCCGAGCUUUGAAGGUGAAGGUUUUGGUAAUAUGGAGAUUUUACUAUAAUUAAAUUUUCACAAAACAAAAAUAGAAAAAAAAUAGCGCGUGGCGAGAACCAAGGGAAUCGAUGACCCUACUCAACUACAAGCCGGCAAGUCUGGCGAAGUGCUGGCCUACUGGGGCAGAACCAAUUUAUUAUUGUUACGAAAUCUAUAAAUGGGUAAAAGCAAACUGUCUCAAGAAAUGAAAAGCUUUGUUUUCUCAGUUGUGUCAAUUUGAAAUAUCGCGUCACCUCAACAAUGCUUGCUUCAAUUCGUCCCCCCCGCGACCNNNNNNNNNNNNNNNNNNNNNNNNNNNNNNNNNNNNNNNNNNNNNNCCCCACCACCCCCCCAAUGCCCCAACACCCACACUCUCUCGCUUUCUCACGUUGAAUCCUCUAUAAAAAGGCUACUACUAAGUUCCUUUACUAACCCAACCAACCCAUAUAGCUACCUCGAAGAAUUACCACACGGUUGGGGAGGGGUGCAGAAAUGAGUAUGGAAUCAGUAGCCAGGCAAUCUCCGAGCCUAGGCAGCGGACCAAAUGGUCAGCAGGCGAGGAACUGGUGCGGCCACUUCCAGAUGCCACUGCACUACCCGAGGUACACCAAAGCUGACUACGAAGCCAUGCCAGAGUGGAAGCUUGAUUGUUUGCUUAAAGAGUAUGGACUACUCAUUACCGGAGAUGUUGAGCAGAAGAGAAGGUUCGCCAUGGGAGCUUUUCUCUGGGCUCGCUAGAAUAUUAAUUCCCUGUUAUCAUAAUUCUGGAAACUACAUAGACAAUGUUAUUUUCUUGGUAUGGUUUCAUUAGUUCCUUCUAGUUUGAUCUUUGGUUUUUCGCGAUCAUUUACCUGAAAGAGAAAGUACUCGGUACAUGAUCAAACUGAAAGGAAAUAUCAAAUGCAUACAGGGAGAGUGCAAGGCCAAGGAAAUAUAGUAUUUGGAACUACAUAUGUAUGUUAGUUACUAAAAUUAAUAUUGUUAAUACUAGUAUGAUAAAUCUUAGUUUUCCUGUUUAAAACCCUUUUUCCUUCUGAUGUUGGCCAACAUUUCCAGUAAGUUCUUAAUUAAAUUUUGAGAGGAGUGGCUUGGGUUCAGGAGUAAGAAAUGCACAAGUUAUGGCAACGGCAUCAUUUCACACGGUUAUAAUAAAAAAGAUUCAUUAUAAAGACUUGCAAAUGCGCUCCUAA
rnacentral:lncRNA from 1 species